rnacentral:rRNA from 1 species
CCUACGGGUGGCAGCAGUGGGGAAUAUUGCACAAUGGGCGCAACCCUGAUCCAGCGACGCCGCGUGAGUGAAGACGUCCUUCGGUAUGUAAAGCUCUUUUUGUAAGGGAGAAAAUGAAGGUACCUGUAUCAGUAGCUCAGGCCAAUUACGUGCCAGCAGGCGCGGGAAUACGGAGGGGGCAAGCGUUAUACGGAUUUACGGGGUGUAAAGGGAGCGUAGACGGGUGGGCAAGUCUGGAGUGAAAUCCCAUGGCUUAACCAUGGAACUGCAUUGGAAACUGUGCAGCUAGAGUGCAGGAGAGGUAGGCGGAAUUCCUAGUGUAGCGGUGAAAUGCGUAGAUAUUAGGAAGAACACCGAUGGCGAAGGCAGCUUACUGGACUGUAACUGACGUUGAGGCUCGAAAGCGUGGGGAGCAAACAGGAUUAGAUACCCCAGUAGUC